GGAGAUAUGGCUCAGUGGGUAAGAGCACUGGCUGCUCUUCCAGAGGUCCUGAGUUCAAUUCCCAGCAACCACA
rnacentral:tRNA from 1 species